UACAGAGGGUGCGAGCGUUAAUCGGAGUUACUGGGCGUAAAGGGUGCGUAGGCGGUUUUGUAUGAGAGAUGUGAAAGCCCCGGGCUUAACCUGGGAAGAGCAUCUCUAACUGCAAGACUAGAGUCCAUCAGAGGGUGGCGGAAUUUCCGGUGUAGCGGUGAAAUGCGUAGAGAUCGGAAGGAACGCCGGUGGCGAAGGUGGCCACCUGGGAUGUGACUGACGCUGAGGCACGAGAGCGUGGGGAGCGAACAGG
rnacentral:rRNA from 1 species